rnacentral:rRNA from 1 species
AGAGUUUGAUCCUGGCUCAGGAUGAACGCUAGCUACAGGCUUAACACAUGCAAGUCGAGGGGCAGCAUGACCUAGCAAUAGGUUGAUGGCGACCGGCGCACGGGUGAGUAACACGUAUCCAACCUACCGGUUAUUCCGGGAUAGCCUUUCGAAAGAAAGAUUAAUACCGGAUAGUAUAACGAGAAGGCAUCUUUUUGUUAUUAAAGAAUUUCGAUAACCGAUGGGGAUGCGUUCCAUUAGUUUGUUGGCGGGGUAACGGCCCACCAAGACAUCGAUGGAUAGGGGUUCUGAGAGGAAGGUCCCCCACAUUGGAACUGAGACACGGUCCAAACUCCUACGGGAGGCAGCAGUGAGGAAUAUUGGUCAAUGGACGAGAGUCUGAACCAGCCAAGUAGCGUGAAGGAUGACUGCCCUAUGGGUUGUAAACUUCUUUUAUAUGGGAAUAAAGUGAGCCACGUGUGGCUUUUUGUAUGUACCAUACGAAUAAGGAUCGGCUAACUCCGUGCCAGCAGCCGCGGUAAUACGGAGGAUCCGAGCGUUAUCCGGAUUUAUUGGGUUUAAAGGGAGCGUAGGCGGACUAUUAAGUCAGCUGUGAAAGUUUGCGGCUCAACCGUAAAAUUGCAGUUGAUACUGGUCGUCUUGAGUGCAGUAGAGGUAGGCGGAAUUCGUGGUGUAGCGGUGAAAUGCUUAGAUAUCACGAAGAACUCCGAUUGCGAAGGCAGCUUACUGGACUGUAACUGACGCUGAUGCUCGAAAGUGUGGGUAUCAAACAGGAUUAGAUACCCUGGUAGUCCACACAGUAAACGAUGAAUACUCGCUGUUUGCGAUAUACGGCAAGCGGCCAAGCGAAAGCAUUAAGUAUUCCACCUGGGGAGUACGCCGGCAACGGUGAAACUCAAAGGAAUUGACGGGGGCCCGCACAAGCGGAGGAACAUGUGGUUUAAUUCGAUGAUACGCGAGGAACCUUACCCG